CUACGGAGGGUCCAAGCGUUAUCCGGAUUCAUUGGGUUUAAAGGGUCCGCAGGCGGGAAAAUAAGUCAGUGGUGAAAGCCUACAGCUCAACUGUAGAACUGCCAUUGAAACUGUUUUUCUUGAGUAUAGAUGAAGUGGGCGGAAUAUAUCAUGUAGCGGUGAAAUGCAUAGAUAUGAUAUAGAACACCGAUUGCGAAGGCAGCUCACUAAACUAUUACUGACGCUCAGGGACGAAAGCGUGGGGAGCGAACAGGAUUAGAAACCCUUGUAGUCC
rnacentral:rRNA from 1 species